CCCUUAGAUGUUCUGGGCCGCACGCGCGCUACACUGAUGCAUUCAACGAGCCUAUCCUUGACCGACAGGUCCGGGUAAUCUUUGAAUCUGCAUCGUGACGGGGAUAGAUUAUUGCAAUUAUUAAUCUUCAACGAGGAAUGCCUAGUAGGCGCAAGUCAUCAGCUUGCGUCGAUUACGUCCCUGCCCUUUGUCCACACCGCCCGUCGCUCCUACCGAUUGGGUGUGCUGGUGAAAUGUUCGGAUCGGCCGUUUGUCGCGGUUUCCGCGUCAUGUGGCUGAGAAGUUCAUUAAACCCUCCCACCUAGAGGAAGGAGAAGUCGUAACA
rnacentral:rRNA from 1 species